rnacentral:rRNA from 1 species
ACUAACGCUUGCGGCUUGCUUAACACAUUCAAGUCGAACGGAAAGGCCCUGCUUUUGUUGGGUGCUCGAGUGGCGAACGGGGGAGUAACACGUGAGUAACCUGCCCUUGACUUUUGGAUAACUUCAGGAAACUGGGGCUAAUACCGGAUAGGAGCUCCUGCUGCAUGUUGGGGGUUGGAAAGUUUCGGCGGUGGGGGAUGGACUCGCGGCUUAUCAGCUUGUUGGUGGGGUAGUGGCUUACCAAGGCUUUGACGGGUACCCGGCCUGAGAGGGUGACCGGCCACAUUGGGACUGAGAUACGGACCAGAGUGCUACGGGAGGCAGCGGUGGGGAAUAUUGCACAAUGGGCGGAAGUCUGAUGAAGAAACGCCGCGUGUGGGAUGACGGCUUUCGGGUUGUAAAACGCUUUAGCCUGUGACGACGCGUGAGUGACGGUAAUGGGUAAAGAAGCACCGGCUAACUACGUG